CAGAACCCCUCCGGGGCGGGAGAGAGGCCAUGGGACAGUGGAGGCAGAGAUUGGAGACGUACUGCCAUGAGCCAAGGGAUCCCAAAGAUUGCCAGAAGCCACCAGAGGCAGGAAGAAGAAAGGAUUCUCCCCUAGAGGCUCCAGGGGCAACGUGGGCCUGCCGACAUGUCGAUUUCAGGCCCCUGCCUCCAGAAUAUGACAGAACACCUGUCCGUUGUUGCAAGGCCCCCGGUGUGUGGCACCUACAAGUAGCAGAUUUUUUAUCAGAAGCUCCAGAGAGGCAACCCUUCUAACAACCCAGAGGAGAGGAGCUUCCAGACUGCCCGGACGCUGGAGGAAGGUGCCCUGGAGGACAGCAGGGAGGCAGAGGCAGGGAGAAGGUGUGAAGAUGUUGUCCUCGCCUCCAAAUCUGAUCAACAUGUCUUCUGUUUCACGGGAGAUGAGCGGACAGAGGAAAACGAACCAUCAGGAUCACCUUCGGUGCGAUGCACCAGCCCUCAGCCCCGAGGUGGAAGAGGACGAAGUUCUGGGGAACGUGAUGCGCAGCGUGGAGGCUGUGGCUCGUGACCCGGAAUUGUAUUCCUUGCAUUCGCUGACAGUGGAUUUCGUGUGCUCUCACCACACGCACGCAC